GAAAGUGACUAAGACAGCAUUGGAUUGAUGCCAUAAUGUGUCCAUAGUCAUACUGAUCUGAAACUCGGGAAGGUUAUGACCAAGGAGACGUGCACAGGUGCCGUUAGGACAAGGCCUGGAGCUGCUUUCAUCCUGGAGCAAAGCAAGACGCUCGAGGGAGUACAGCCCAGGAAAGCGCCUAAGCCGGCUCUCAGGUGUCAGAGUGCACUGGGGACUUCAUACCAGGGAAGGAAAAUCGGGGCCCAGAGCCAAGGAGAUAAGGGGGAUGUGCUGGCCCAGACUGAAUCCAUCUUGUCAGAAACCUGAAAAACGAGAAGACUUGUUUGACUUGAGCCCUGGCUAAGAACCAAUAUGCUGCAGAAGCACCAGAAAGUGCCUGAAGGGAGUGGAGAAGUGUUUGGUUUGGGGGUGUUAAUGCCAGUCCACCCAAAGUA